rnacentral:misc_RNA from 1 species
GAACAGGCCUCACAAGCCACUGAUUUGAAGAAUCCAGAUAUCGAUAUCUAUGAGUUGGAUUAUCAGAAUCAAAUGAAGCAGGUAACGCCAAGUCUGGCAUGGGUACUGGCACUGAUGAUGCACCACCAGUCUCUUCAUCUACAUUUUCGCUGGGAUCAGUUGGUGGUAAACUUUCAGCCGCAGCUUGCAUUUUCUUCAUCAUCUUCCGCCUCUUCCUCUCUUCCUUCAACUGCUUUUUCAUAAAAAGCUUUUCCCUGUAUUCUAACUCAUCAUUGUAGGCCUUCUUCUGCUCUUUGGACAACUUUGCCAGCUGUGCUUUGGUCAAGCGCUUGAAAGGUGGCAGUUGAUCAUAUUCUGAUUCAUCUUCUGACUCUGAAGACUCAUCCAGAUCAUCAUCUAAAGCGUCAUCAUCAUCAUCAUCAAAUUGCUCUGCUGGUAGUUUAACCUGUGGCCUUGACUGUAGAAGGGAUGACAAUAGGAAAGGUAAAGGAGGGGAUCUUGUUCUAGUGGCAUAAGGCUGUCCUGGUGCGCUACUAUCUUGUAAUUUAAGCAAUGUGUUUGCUUCAGCCAAAAUUUUUGAUGCAAAUGACAGAAGUAACAAGUGAGGCCUCCAAACCUGUCCAUUAGGCAGCACCCUCUGUCCAGCCCUGUUAGUCCUGCAUGCUGAGUGAUUCUCAACUAGCGAAACAGGAUUCAUAAGGCGCAUAUCUCCAGCAGCCUGACGUAUAGCUUGCUGGACAACAUGAGAGCGCUGAGUUACAAACAUGUCAUAGCUUGUUACAGUACCAUUGGGGCCUUCAGGUGGAGCAGACGCAGCAUGUGUCAGAACAACUAUGGCAUUAAACCAUAUUGAUGGUCCAAAAAUUUCAGUAAUUGUCCUCAACAAUGGCAUAUCACCAUUAUCUCUGCUCUGCAUAUCCAACCUGUCAAGAUACAGAACAAUAUCUGGGGGUGUCUUCUUAAUAAACCGUUUGACAGAAUGAAGGAUCUUUUCAUUCUGGCGCUGGUCUGACCAGGAAGGAAGAAGCCCAGGAGUGUCAAUCACCCGAACCUUGAUUCCCUGCACAGUGCCAACAACAUCCUGAACCUUUUUUGUCCCUACCUGGAAAGCAUCAGUGUCAAACUUAACUUCAUCAAAUAUCGAAUUUAUGGUUGCACUUUUACCAACACCAGUUUUUCCAAGAACCAUUAUUGUGCAAGAGAAGUCCAGGGGUUCUUGUCCAGCUGCCUCGAGUUGCUCAGCCAUAGCACUUGCACGAUCAAAACUAAAAGCACCAACACGACCUCCACUUCUCCCCCGUAGCUGUUCAGCCAAUCCCAAUCUAUACAAGACUUGGGCAACAACCACAUUAUGUGGAGUCUGUCCAUUCCGAUGAGCUAGACGCAAAAACUUGACUCUUAUCAUCUGGAGCUUCUCACGUGUCUCAUCAUAUUCAUCAGCCUCUCCAUUUGUAGAUUCUUCAACAAGCUGGUUUUGUGCUGGAGAUGCUGUUCCAUUUACACGAGGCUGCUGAACCACUCGGGGAGCAGGUUCCAAUAGUGGGGCAGCACGACCAAGGCCGGCAGGUGCCGGUAUCCGAGUUGCAGAUGCAUUGGAAGAUGAUGGAUGCUCCGUUGCAGAUCUGGCUUCAGAUUCCCUAACCCUAGGAACACUUUGCUUCAGGUCCUUUACAACAACUGACACCGGUUCCUUCUCUAUGACUUUAUCAACCGAUUCCUUCUCUACAACUUUAUCAACUCCAACAACUGCAUCUUGAGAAACCUUCGAGACCUUUUCAUUAUUGUCAGAGGGCAAUGCUUCUGAUGAUUUAGACAUUUCAUCAUCUGCAGUCACUUUACCCCUAACUGAAAUUCCGGAAUGGUUCAAAGAAGCUGAAGAGUCAGAAACCGAAACAUCUUUCUGCUCAUUGGUCCUGUCAUUCAAAUUUCCUGGUUCCAUAGUAGGGGACUCAUUUAAUUUCAGUCCUUGAUGAUCAGAAGCAUCACCCAUUAGUUCUGGACCAGUUGAUUCUUUUUCUGUCACUUCUGCCUUUAAGGGGAAGUGACCUCCUUGUAGAAUAGAAACAGAGUCGUUGUCUUGAUCAUCUAUCUGCUGUUCAUCCUUAUUAGUACAGUUAAUUGGUUCUGGACUACACACGGCCUUUUCUCCAUCUAACUGCUGCCCUUCAACUUUAUUACUACCGUUGACUGGUUCUGGACUAAUGGCUUUUACUCCAUCUAUCUGCUGCUCUUCAUCCUUAUUACUUCCAUUAACGGGUUCUGGACUAUGCACUGCUUUUACUCCAUCUAUCUGCUGCUCUUCAUCCUUAUUACUUCCAUUAACGGGUUCUGGACUAUGCACUGCUUUUACUCCAUCUAUCUGCUGCUCUUCAUCCUUAUUACUUCCAUUAACGG